AAAAACAGCAAAUGCAGUUCACACCCCAUUUAUAUCUAUAUGAGUGAAUCUUUUCGAAAUUUUGGCCUUUGCAAAGCUGCUUUGUUUCGGAUUGUUGAUGAUCAGAAGAUAAAACAGACAAGGAGGAAAAAGGAGAAGAGAAGGAAUCUCUUGUUUAUACUAGUUUUAUAUUCAAAAGUUGUGAGUUUUUUUUAUUUGUGGUUUGAUUCUUGUAUUAGCUGUCUUACUUUUGGCUGAAUCUAGUGGUAGUUUAGUACUAAUUAUUUUUAUGUGUGUCUGAAAACAGUUGUUGAAGUGAGCUAGUGAGAUAUUAUGAUAUAGAUUCCUUUGUAGCUUAGGUUCCUAUCAAUAAAAUAUUUUCAAGAAUUCAGAGAGAAAAAAAUGCGAAGGCUCAUUUCUUUUCCAUUUCUUAAUUUGUAUGCUUUAAAAACAGGCAUGAUCGAUCAAUGAAACUAUGUGUUUGUUUGUUCUUUUGUGAAGCAAAUAUGUGUUUUUCUUACAUAAAUUUGGCUCCAUCUGUUUUUACAGUUUCUCUGUUCAGUGACUCUCUCUUUUUCUUGUGUGAAUGUUGAGGUCGUAAAUUGAGGCCGAUCAUCUGCGGCAGCCUACGCGACAAGCAGCCAACGGAUUGGUUGCGUUCGGGGAGUAUUUUCAGCGUCUGGUCCGCCCGUUGCCCGGGCGAACCGGCAUGAUCGAAGCAGCAUUAGGUAGAUGUGCUGUAAAUGAGAUAAAUCUUGUAGUAUUUGCUUAGGUGAGUAUCAAUUUACAAUCCAACUCUUGAUUUAAUUUUUUUUUGCUGCUUCUUUGAUAUGUGGCUGCGUACAUAUUGGUUAAAGUUAUGGUUGUUGACGACUUAUUUGAAAUGUACUUGAGAAAGUAGUAAGUAUUAUAUAUGAUUGAGGGCAUGAAUAUAUAAGCCCUUAGGCACGAGUAUGAUCUCUUUUCUAUCUAAAUUUAUCUUGCAAUUUAUAUUACAUUGUUGAGAUGUUCUCUGGUAAACCCAGUUUUUUUGUAAAAUCAGAUUUCACAGGAUCCAUAUAGGAUCAGGGUCAUUGGAUACAGAUCAGGUAGAAAUCGGUUUUAUUGUAAAACCAGUUUUACAGUAGUAUUUGUGUAUAAUAUUUGACUACAAGGAAAGAAAAUAAGAUAAAAUAGCGUCCCAAAUAAUAAUAAUAAUAAUAAUCUUAAUUGGUUAUAGUGAAUUUUUGAAGAAGAAAAAAAGUAGAUAGAAAAGCUGCAGUUAUUAUUACAAAUAAUUGUAAUUUUCAUCCCUCAUGAAAUUCGAAUUCAAUAGAAUAUAGGGACUUCAUACAUAUACUACAAUAUUCUCACGUUUCUCAUAAAAAAUAAAGGUUCUCAUUUAAGCUUCUUUCAAAUUAUAUAUGUUGUAUGUAUAAGUAAUCUAUAUUAUGUAUAUAACUAUUAAUAUUUGUGUGUUUUUUAUAAUAUUUUUUUACAUACUGAUGUAUUCUUUUACUCGUAUAUACAUUGAUAAAAGCCAAACCCCUAACUACUCUCAAAAACUAGCUCAAGAGUAUAGAUUUGAACUCAACCUUAUAUCUAACCCAAGAGACUUAACUAGUUUAUCUCCUGACAUCAUAUUCGAAUGUUAUUGCACGACAACAGAAAUAGCUCUCAUACAUAUAACUGGUAACUACCUAUGCAGAGAAGCCAAAAUAAUGUGGAAAAAUAAAAUAUAUUCUUUUCUUGUAUAACAGAAGUUAGCAAAAUAUUAUUCAGUCAAUUGCCCUUCACAAGUGAGACUCAUUGAGCUAAUGCUGCAAAGAAAAAAUCGGAGGAAAAAGUGUUUAUCAUUUGCUGUAGUCAGCUGUUUCUAUCUCACUCUAAGCUUUUACAAGCAGCAGAAUGCUCAUCCACAAUGAGGUUGAUCAGCGGCUCCUCCACGUCAGCAUCAGCCCGAGUUCUGUCUCGUUGGACCACAAUAUUUCCA
rnacentral:lncRNA from 1 species